GUCUAUUAGAAAUUGUUUAUAGUCUAGCCUGCUCACUGACAUAAAGUGUUAAAUAGCCGCGGUAUCUUGACCGUGCAAAGGUAGCAUAAUCAUUAGUUUUUUAAUUGGGAACUCGUAUGAAUGGUUGGACAAAGAAAAAUCUGUCUCUUGCAAUGAAAUUGAAUUUAACUUCUAAGUGAAAAGGCUUAGAUUACCCAGAGGGACGAUAAGACCCUAUAAAGCUUUAUAAAUUUAUUAAUUUCGUUUAUUUUUUAUUAUAAUAAUGAUGAUAAGAAAAUUUAUUUGGUUGGGGCAACCGAAGUAUAAUUUUAAAUAACUGCUAUAAUUUAAUACAAUGAUUUUUGUUUUAUAUAAUAAUUGAUCCUCUAAGAGAUUAAAGACCAAGUUACUUUAGGGAUAACAGCGUAAUUUAUCCUGAGAGUUCUUAUCAAAGGAAAAGUUUGCGACCUCGAUGUUGAAUUAAAAUGUCUACCUAGUGCAGCAGCUGGGAAAGAAGGUCUGUUCGACCUUUAAUUUUUUACAUGAUUUGAGUUCAGACCGGCGUGAG
rnacentral:rRNA from 1 species